AACCAGAGCCGAGGAAACCGAGCCCAGUUCCCUGCCCAGAGCAGGGCAUCUCAGUCAGUGAAGCCCCACUUAGACCUCACCCUAUCAUGGCCUGCUGCCUCCUCUGCUGUGUGGUCCUCUGUCUCCUGGGCACAGUCUUCAUGGACACUGGAGUUACCCAGACACCAAGACACCUGGUCAUGGGAACAGCAAACAAGAAGACGAUCAGAUGUGGACAACGGCUGAAUCACAAUGCGAUGUACUGGUACAAACAGCACGCUCAGAGGCCCCCGGAGCUCAUGUUUCUCUACAACUACAAAGAACUCACUGACAACCAGAGUGUGCCAAGCCGCUUCUCCCCUGAAUGCCCUGACAGCUCUCAUCUACUGCUUCAUCUGUCCAACCUGCAGCCAGGAGACUCAGCUGUGUAUCUGUGCGCCAGCAGCCAAGACACAGCCCUGCAGAUGCACCGCCUCCCUGUGCACAAACCCCCACGAUCCUGGAAACCUUGA